rnacentral:rRNA from 1 species
GACAGAGGUGCCAAGCGUUAGGCGGAAUCACUGGGCUUAAAGCGUGUGUAGGCGGAAUUCUAAGUACCUUGUGAAAUCCCACGGCUCAACCGUGGAACUGCUCGGUAUACUGGUUUUCUUGAGCCACUUAGGGGCUGUCGGAACAAGCGGUGGAGCGGUGAAAUGCGUAGAUAUCUGGAGGAACACCGGUGGCGAAGGCGGCAUCCUGGACCGGCAUUGACGCUGAGGCGCGAAAGCCAGGGGAGCAAACGGG